UAGUAUCAUGAGAAUUAUGUUAUCUUGAUUAGUGAAUUUUAUAAAUGUUUAAGAGCUUAGAAAGUAGCCAGGCUGUGUUGCCAAUAUUUUGAUAACAUUAAAUCCGUGACCAGCCCUUUGAGAACACACCAUUCCUGGUGUGAUGUCUUCAUGUAGACCCUGGAGCAGGAUAAGACCUGUCUAAGGAAUCUCAAAGUCCAUAUAGCCAAUCAACAAACUUGCAAGAAUCUCAAAGUCUGUGUAGUUGGUCAGCAAACUCAUCAUUGUCAAAUCUCUACUCUUCAGCAGAAGUUUUAGAUGUUGAUAUACGGAGCCAACCUCUAUUCAACUGUUAAGACACCAAAUCUACAAGUCAGUUACUCUUGUCAUGAAUUAUUAGUUGUAACAAGCCCUCGGUGCAUUAAGCGAAUGAUACCUAUUCCUAUAACCUAACUGAAGCUUCAUAUUAGUUGACCAAUGUUAUCCUUCUCUCCAUCUCCCCUCCCCUUAUAAAGAUUCAGAAUAUACUGCUAAUAUACAUGUUUAAAAAGAUAAAAUGCCAACUUUGAUA